UGCCACAUUUUAUCUGUGAAUUUAUGUGGCAUUCAGCAGAAAAUCACUAAUCGAUUAGUUAGCGAUUGCUUCUGCUGAAUGCACCCAUUGGUCAUCACAUUUCAUUUUCAUAACAUAACCGAUAACCUAAAAAUUUAGUAAAAAAGUAAAAAUUUUGAUUGGAAAAAAAUGCAUCGAUAAGGGGGUGUGGGAAAUGGAAAUUAGUGGCUUUUUUGCUGUACUGUCUGCUAGUUUUUGCUCUGGGCACUGGCUAGAUCUCUUGUUUAAACAAUUUUAAUCGGCUGAAAGUGGCCUACAAAAAAAAAACCAAGAAGGAAAUGUAUAGCCUUGUGGCUAUGAAAGGCAAAAGAGAGAUAUAAAAAGUGUAUUGGCUAGUUGGAAGAAAGUCCACAUUGUCCAUGCAUAAUAAGUUAUUACAUUAUCAACAAAUAUCAAGAAGAUAGCAGGGUCACGAGCAUCAACUUCAUGAGUUCAAGAAUAUCGAGGAAAUCCAGCUCCUCGAUACUACUGGGCAAACUAGAAGAUUGAAGAGGACAAAUCCUUUUGAACUAGUUUGAGUGAUAGGUGAUAGUGAAAAACGGAGCAUAGUGCUUGUGUGCUGUGCCUGUGUAUGUUAGAAUAGUGCACGAUCUUGUUAGAUUAGAUAAGAGACGCUAUGGGGUAAGCUCUUCAUUUUAAGAAACAGUAGUAAUUUAGGUUAAAUUAAAAUUGCUCAUUGGUCAGUUAUGACCAGAUUGUUUUUUUAUGUUUGGCAAAAAGGACUUAAGUCAGAAUUGCACAUUGAUAAUGUUUUGAUGAUUUCUGGACCAGAAAAAAACUGUUGUAGAUGUAAACUGUAUGUACAGUAGAAUCUACUACAGUACUGUAGAAAUCAUCAAAACAUUAUCGAUGUGCAAUUCUGACUUAAGCCCUUUUUCCCAAACAUCAGAGAAUUGUAAUGUACAAUAAUUCUCCUAUCUGCUUUUUCAUGAAUUUUGUAGGAGACGAAAAACCAUUUUUAGGAUCAUCUGCUUUCACAUGUUUUGUAGUAAAUAGAUAGUUGAAUUUACUACAAAACAUGUCAAAAAAUAUAUGAAAACAGGAGGUGACUAUAAAAAAAGUUUUUAGUCUCUCUUACAAAACUCAUGAAAAAACAAAUCGGAGGUAUGUCACAUCAGUGACUAAGAAUGUCUAAAAAAUAUACUUUGAUGUCCCAAGAACCAAAUAUAACCUACAGUCCAUCUAAUUUACUUACUGUUGCAGGUCAUUAUCUACGUCAGAGAUCUAAGUUGACAUAGUUGCCAAAGUAUAAAAAGAUCCUGAAUCCAUUUUAAAUCAAAUAUGUCACAUAAUUAUUGUAAACGUGGAUUAUACAACAAAACAAAUUAAUAUUCAAUGUAAAUAAGUAAAAACUUAAGAAAUAGAGAACAAGAAUUAAGUUAUAAUCUUUUAAGAUUUGCAGUGCAAGAGUUUUUGCACUGCAUUGUUAAUAAUUAAAAAACGGCUCCGAACUCUUGGCAAAAAGCCGGUAGGUUUCUUUGUAUAAGUAUGUCUACAAUAACAACUAAAAAAGUUGUCAGAUACCUCGAUUAUUCCAAGUAUUCCAAGUCGUUAUAAAAUUAGGUGAAAUUUAUAUUUUUAUAGUAGAGGAUCUUUUUAUAGUAAAGUAAAUAAUAAAAACAGUAAAUAUAAUAAAUAAAACAGAUACUUAUAGUAAAGAAUAUAAACAAAUAUGAAGUGUCAUCACCGUAACUGUCAAAUAAAUGUUACCAAUUUAUUCUAAAAUGUCACCUUCAUUCGAUUACAGUUACAGUGUGAUCCGAACAAAUCUGCUUCAUAAAAACGCUUUAUAAUCCAUUUAUACAAAUUAAAUGAAACAUAUUAUUGUGUAUUUCUUUAGGUUAACAUUAAUAGAAAUCUUCAAAUAUUAUUUCUACGCGUAUAUAAUAAAAUAUGUCUAGUGGCUGUAAUUCCAGUGUACUCGGCAAAGUGAUUCUAAAAAAGAACACACCUACCGCCUAAAUAUUUCGUGUUGGUAUCAUGCAACCUCACAGGCUACGACGCGGAUGACGCGCAACAGUUAGUAAAUUAGACGAAAUAUGUAGAUAUAUACAGGGUGUAACAAAAAUACAGGUCAUAAAUUUAAUCACAUAUUCUGGGACCAAAAAUAGUUUGAUUGGACCUAACUUACCUUAGUACAAAUGUGCACACAAGAAAAGUUACAGCCCUUUGAAGUUAUAUAUAUAUAAUAGCACCAAGGGUCUUAGAGGCCCAUGGCUUGAAAAGUUUGUUUUUUUUCUUCAUUUUCACGUUUCUUUAUGUACUGAGAUCUUCUCUGGCUUGAUAUGUGAUUUUUCUCCAUUCCUUCCUGUUAUUCAUUUUUCUUUUCUGACCCUGUAGCACCAUUCUUUCCAAAUCUUUUUCGACCUCUUGCUUCCAUCUAUUUUUCGGCCUUCCUCUUCUCUUUCUUGAAGCUGUAGUGUAGUUUAGUACCAUUUUUGGAGUCCUCGUGUUUGGCAUCCUUUCAAUGUGACCUCGCCAUCUAAGUCUCUGUGCCUUUAUCAUUCAUUUGAAGUUACAAGAUGAAGUGAUUUUUUCCAAUAUAUCGAAAACUAUUAGAGAUUUUUUAUUGAAAAUGGACAUGUGGCAUUAUUAUGGCAGCA
rnacentral:lncRNA from 1 species